ensembl:lncRNA
UGAAUUGGCAAGCACAAUCAUUGAAAUAUCUAGGAGUUGUUAUUCCCAAGGAUUUAACUAAACUAUUUGAGGAGAAUUUUGGUUCUCUACAAAGGAGAAUAGUGGGUGAUAUUAGGCGAUGGAACAUGAUCCCCUUUCUUUCUUUACACUCACGAGUUGAAUCUAUUAAAAUGAAUAUCUUGCCAAGAAUAUUAUAUUUAUUCCAAACACUACCAAUAUUCAUUGAUCCAAGUCGUUUCAAUGAAUGGGAUAAAAUAAUAUCGCGGUUUAUAUGGGGGGGGGAAGCGGCCGAGGGGUUUGUUUUAAAACUUUACAAUUACAUAAGAAGGUGGGAGGAUGGGGGUUGCCAUCACUAAAAAAUUAUUAUCGGGCUGCUCAGUUGAAAACGGUGGUUAAUUGGUGUGAUACAAGCUACCAAGCACACUGGAAGACUAUAGAGGAGAAUAUAUUUUCCUCCCCAAUACAAGCUGUCCUGAUGGACUCGAAUAUUCGAAAAUAUAUUGACAAGAUUCAUAACCCCUGGGUGUCGUGCACACUUAAUAUAUGGAGAAAAGUUGUGAAAGAAUUCAAACUUGAACAGGAUUUGGCUUUAUUCAAAUGGUAUGCAUAUGAUUCUGACUUUACCCCGAAUAAAUUGGACUCACGUUUUAAAAGCUGGCCUGCUAAAGGGUUAUCUACAUAUGAUAGUUUGAUAAAGGAUGGGAACCUUAUUAGUUUUGACAUGCUGAAACAGAGACACAAUCUAGAAAAACAGGAUUUUUUUCGAUACUUGCAAAUAAGACACUAUAUAAAGACAACAAUCGGUCAGAUGUCAAAUACUAACGUGGAAUUGGUAACUUUAUUUAGACAGGCGUACAGUGGGGAUGUUGACACAAGACUAAUUUUUUUUUUGGUACAAUUUUUUUAUGAAUAAGCUUCCACACUCAACUGAUUAUGUGAAGAUGUUAUGGGAAAAGGAGGGAGGGAUGUGUAUUUCUAGGGAAGAAUGGACUCAGAUGUGGGAAUGGCAAUGGAGGAGUACUUCCUCCAAAAGCUGGAGGGAGUUCGGAUGGAAAACUCUGAUAAGGUUCUUUAUCACUCCAUGUCAAAAGGCUCACUAUGAUGGGAAUCCUCCCGUGUGCUGGCGAAACUGUGGAUACCAAGGAGCCCAUCACACCCAUAUUAUGUGGGACUGUCCGGUGCUACGGACUUACUGGAAAGACAUUCAUGGUAUAUUACAAGGCAUUUUUAACUGUACAUUCCCUCAGGAUAUGAAGACAAUUUUUUUUGGCUGUAUACCGCAGAACUGGUCCAAAAGUGACAUAUGUCUGUUACGAGCUUUAUUGGUUGCAAGUAAGAAAUGUAUAACAAAGAAAUGGUCCUCGCAAGACAUACCGACUUUGUCAUUAUGGUGGGAAAUUACGUUAGAGAUAUAUAGGAUGGAGGAAGUAACAGCUCAUGUUAAUGACAGGAUGGCCUGGUUCCAUCUGUGCUGGGAUAAGUGGGUCCAUUAUGUUAAUACCUAUAAACCGAAUUUUCUCUUUAAAGCUUGAAACCACCAAUUUAGUUAAUUGUUUACUCCCGACAGAGCUUUCUCCUUUUAUUUUAUAUAUAUAUUUUUUUUUUCCUUUUUUUUUUUUUUUUUUUUUUUUCUUUCUUUUUCUUUCUAUCUGUCUUUCUUCUCGUUUUGUUUCGUUUUUCUCUUGUAAACUGUGUUAAUUAAUGCCUGUAAUCAUCUUUAUGAGGUAAUAUUGUAGAAAUAAAGAAUAUAAAAAAAAAAAAAAAAAAAAAGGAAAAGUAGGUGAGCUGUGAAUAAUAUUUAAGCUCCUGAAACUCAGGAUUUUUAUUUUUUUAAGUAAGUAACAACUGUGUUACAUCUUCCAGUUAAUAAAGGAAGCUUAGUUGGGCCAGACAGGAAUAUAAACUCAUUACAAAUAGUUAGGAGAAAAUUAAAAAUAGUUUAGGUCUCAGGGCUGCUAUUUCUCUCACCCAAAACACCCUUUCACGUGAAAUACAUCAGCUCUAAACUUGUGCUGUCUAUAAAAAAAAAAAAAUUCCAUGUGAUGACGUUUUCAGCUAAGUUUCUUCCUGAACAGUAAUGGCGGCGCACUGCUGAAAACGUGGUUUGUGACUUUGGCAUUCCUUUAGUUUUUAAAGUAGCCUGUGGCAUUAACAGAAAACAAUAACAUACUCAUAAAACAAAAUACAGUCAGCUGAUCUAGAAAGCACAAGAAUGGCUGCCGAGUCAUCUGCGUUGUUCCGCUGGUUCUUGUGGUUUUUCAGCAUUGUCAUGCUUGUCUCUGCAGGUGAGCGUUAUUUCUUAAACAUUCACAUUUGGUUUAUAGAAGUAGUAGUAUCCGCC